UACGGAGGAUGCAAGCGUUAUCCGGAAUUAUUGGGCGUAAAGCGUCCGCAGGUGGCUGUGUAAGUCUGCUGUCAAAGCGCGAAGCUCAACUUCGUAAAGGCAGUGGAAACUACACGGCUAGAGUGCGUUCGGGGCAGAGGGAAUUCCUGGUGUAGCGGUGAAAUGCGUAGAGAUCAGGAAGAACACCGGUGGCGAAGGCGCUCUGCUGGGCCGCAACUGACACUGAGGGACGAAAGCUAGGGGAGCGAAUGGG
rnacentral:rRNA from 1 species